UAUACACCUUCCAUAUAACCUCCAUACAGCUCACAUAUAGUUAGUUAGAAAACUGACCUUUUACUCUUCUUGUGAGAUAACAAGUACAGUGACAGCUCCAGUCAUUCAGUGUGAGUGCACACCCAGCACACAGGUCACUGAUCCCCUAUAUCGAUCUCUCUCUCCAUUAUUGAUCUCCUGGCCAGGUAUUGCUACCCAGAUAGAGUACUGGUCCCCGGGCAGGUUAUUGAUCUCCCCUGAAAGAUGAUUGCUCUUUUGGCAGGGUAUUGAUCGUCUAAUAGGUUAUGGAUCUCCUGCUGGGUAUCGAUCUACUGAUAGAUUACUGAUCUACUGACUGGGUAUUGAUCUCCUGAUAGAUUAUUGAUUUCCUGUCAGGAUGCUGAUCUCCUGAUAGACCAUUAAUCUCCUGGCUGGGUAUUGAUCACCUGAUAGAUGAUUGAUCUCCUGGUGGCAGGGUAUUGAUCUCCUGGUUGGUAAUGGAUCUCCUGAUAGAUUAUUGAUCUCCUGCUGGAAGGGUAUUGAUCUCCUGAUAGAUUAUUGAUUUCCUGUCAGGGUGCUGAUCUCCUGAUAGACUAUUAAUCUCCUGGUGGCAGGGUAUUGAUCUCCUGAUAGAUUAUUGAUCUCCUGCUGGAAGGGUAUUGAUCUCCUGAUAGAUUAUUGAUCUCUUGGUGGCUGGGUAUUGAUCUCCUGAUAGAUUAUUAAUCUCCUGGUGGCAGGGUAUUGAUCUCCUGAUAGAUUAUUGAUCUCUUGGUGGCUGGGCAUUGAUCUCCUGAUAGAUUAUUGAUCUCCUGGUGGCUGGGUAUUGAUCUCCUGAUAGAUUAUUGAUCUCUUGGUGGCUGGGUAUUGAUCUCCUGAUAGAUUAUUGAUCUCUUGGUGGCUGGGUAUUGAUCUCCUGAUAGAUUAUUGAUCUCUUGGUGGCUGGGUAUUGAUCUCUCCUGUCAGCCCCUGUCAGGAUGAUGGGAGGAAGGUGGGCCGGGGCUCUGCUCCCCCUGUGACCCGGACCUGGGACCUUUCAGCAGCAAACACUUGUUGCUCCGUCUCGGCAUUUUUAUUUCCUACUCCUGAAGGUCGU